GUGCUCACUUUGGCAGCACAUACACUAAAACUGAAACAAUGCAGGGAAGGUUAGCAUGGCCCCUGCACGAGGAGGAUGCACAAAUCCGUGCAGGAACACCCCACCUCC